AGUGAACGCUGGCGGUAGGCCUAACACAUGCAAGUCGAACGGCAGCACAGUAAGAGCUUGCUCUUACGGGUGGCGAGUGGCGGACGGGUGAGGAAUACAUCGGAAUCUACUUUUUCGUGGGGGAUAACGUAGGGAAACUUACGCUAAUACCGCAUACGACCUACGGGUGAAAGCAGGGGAUCUUCGGACCUUGCGCGAUUGAAUGAGCCGAUGUCGGAUUAGCUAGUUGGCGGGGUAAAGGCCCACCAAGGCGACGAUCCGUAGCUGGUCUGAGAGGAUGAUCAGCCACACUGGAACUGAGACACGGUCCAGAGUCCUACGGGAGGCAGCCGUGGGGAAUAUUGGGCAAUGGGCGCAAGCCUGAGCCAGCCAUACCGCGUGGGUGAAGAAGGCCUUCGGGUUGGAAAGCCCUUUUGUUGGGAAAGAAAAGCAGCAGGUUAAUACCCCGCUGUUCUGACGGUACCCAAAGAAUAAGCACCGGCUAACUUCGUG
rnacentral:rRNA from 1 species